AUUGAACGCUGGCGGCAUGCCUUACACAUGCAAGUCGAACGGCAGCACGGGGCAACCUGGUGGCGAGUGGCGAACGGGUGAGUAAUGCAUCGGAACGUGCCAUUGAGUGGGGGAUAACGUAGCGAAAGUUGCGCUAAUACCGCAUAUUCUGUGAGCAGGAAAGCAGGGGACCGCAAGGCCUUGCGCUCUUUGAGCGGCCGAUGUCAGAUUAGCUAGUUGGUGAGGUAACGGCUUACCAAGGCGACGAUCUGUAGCGGGUCUGAGAGGAUGAUCCGCCACACUGGAACUGAGACACGGUCCAGACUCCUACGGGAGGCAGCAGUGGGGAAUUUUGGACAAUGGGCGCAAGCCUGAUCUAGCCAUGCCGCGUGAGUGAAGAA
rnacentral:rRNA from 1 species